rnacentral:rRNA from 1 species
AUCUGAUUAGAGUUUGAUCAUGGCUCAGAACGAACGCUGGCGGCAGGCCUAACACAUGCAAGUCGAACGCCCUCUUCGGASGGAGUGGCAGACGGGUGAGUAACGCGUGGGAACCUACCCAAGGGUACGGGACAACUCAGGGAAACUUGAGCUAAUACCGUAUACGUCCUUAGGGAGAAAGAUUUAUCGCCCCUGGAUGGGCCCGCGUUGGAUUAGCUAGUUGGUGGGGUAAUGGCCUACCAAGGCGACGAUCCAUAGCUGGUCUGAGAGGAUGAUCAGCCACACUGGRACUGAGACACGGYCCAGACUCCUACGGGAGGCAGCAGUGGGGAAUMUUGGACAAUGGGSGMAASCCUGAUCCAGCCAUGCCGCGUGAGUGAUGAAGGCCCUAGGGUUGUAAAACUCUUUCAGUGGUGAAGAUAAUGACGGUAACCACAGAAGAAGCUCCGGCUAACUCCGUGCCAGC